UAAGGGUAGAGAAAACAUUUUCAGUAGAGAAAACAAUGAAGUUCUUAAUUAUGGGAACAAGAAAGACAUGAGGCUCAAAGAGAGG